AUGCCGCCACGCCGCCGGGGUUCCUCGGGCUACCGCGGCGUCCGUGAGCUCCCCAACGGCUUGUGCUCCGCCGAGAUCCGGUCCGGCGACGUCCAGCUCGGCCUCGGCGCGUUCCGGACCUCGCACGAGGCGGCCCAUGCGUACGACGCGGUGGCAUGGCGCUUGGAGAGGCCCCCGUCGCAGAUGAACUUCUGGGACAUCUACACGCGUGAGCAGGCGCAGCGCGUCGCCCCUCCGCCUCGUCUGAUCACGGACCAGGACCGUGUGGACCACUUUCGACUGCAGCGCCGCCUCCUCGUCGCCGAGGAGGACGAGCGAGCCAUGGCGGAGUGA
rnacentral:rRNA from 1 species